rnacentral:rRNA from 1 species
UACGUAGGGUGCAAGCGUUAAUCGGAAUUACUGGGCGUAAAGCGUGCGCAGGCGGUGAUGUAAGACAGAUGUGAAAUCCCCGGGCUCAACCUGGGAACUGCAUUUGUGACUGCAUCGCUAGAGUACGGCAGAGGGGAUGGAAUUCCGCGUGUAGCAGUGAAAUGCGUAGAUAUGCGGAGGAACACCGAUGGCGAAGGCAAUCCCCUGGGCCUGUACUGACGCUCAUGCACGAAAGCGUGGGGAGCAAACAGG